rnacentral:rRNA from 1 species
GCCAGCCCGCUCAGAAACUCAAAUGAAUUGACGGGGCCCGCACAAGCGGUGGAGCAUGUGGUUUAAUUCGAUGAUACGCGAGGAACCUUACCUGGGCUCAAAUGUAUGUUGACGUAUUCUGAAAGGGAUACUUCUUCGGACAAUAUACAAGGUGCUGCAUGGUUGUCGUCAGCUCGUGCCGUGAGGUGUCGGGUUAAGUCCCAUAACGAGCGCAACCCCUAUCAUUAGUUGCCAUCAGGUCAAGCUGGGGACUCUAAUGAAACUGCCUACGCAAGUAGUGAGGAAGGUGGGGAUGACGUCAAAUCAGCACGGCCCUUACGUCCAGGGCUACACACGUGCUACAAUGGCCGGUACAAAGGGCAGCUACCUGGUGACAGGAUGCUAAUCUCAAAAGCCGGUCCCAGUUCGGAUUGCAGGCUGAAACUCGCCUACAUGAAGUUGGAGUUGCUAGUAAUCGCGAAUCAGAAUGUCGCGGUGAAUGCGUUCCCGGGUCUU